CCUGCAUCCGGAUUUCCACUUUCCCCAUUUUGCUGUCGAAGCUCUGCCCGUGCGGUCCCCUGCUCCAGGUAACUGUCUCCGUUCCUCCUCUCUUUGGAAGUCCUUUUUCCUCCAGGGGCCUGCCUCCAUUGUCCGUCUUCUUCCCAUUUUCUGCCCUUUGUCCUGGUUCAUGGCUAGAACAUCUCCAAGAGGGGGUCAGUCGGGGAACCCGACCGACGACCCUCGGUCGACUCCG
rnacentral:lncRNA from 1 species